rnacentral:lncRNA from 1 species
GUGGGCAUUGGGGGCUUGUCAGGCAUGUUCUGGAGGCCUCCUCAGGCUCUGUGACACGAUAGUGUCAGGGUUUCCUAGGAAACCGCAGCCAGCUGCCAGGUCUGUGUGCCUGCUCCCCUCAGGGUUGCAGUGGGUGUAGGCGAGGGAUGCCCAGGUGGGAAGAUGUGUGUGGUGCGAGAGUGGGAGAUGUGCAGGGCAUGUGUGUGCAUGUGUGUUAUAAGUGGGAAUGUCCAAGGAGCCUGCAUUUGCAGGUCUUCAUGAGGGGUAGGUCUGAGAGUCCGGGUCUGUGUGUGUUCUGUGUCGGCAAGCUGGAGGGAUUCUGACUGAAGUCCACCUAUCCAGCUUCAAGCCUUCUUGUCAGCAGCAAUGCCACUCAAUGUUUGCAGAGCCCUGAGCCGUCAGGCCCCAGGAGAAGCAGCCUGUUCUCUAGGCAUGUUGGUUGGAUACAGAGCGGGAAGACAAAACCAGGAGAGGCUCAGCCUUCACCCAUCUGGACAUCAGCCUGUGGAGCCAUCAAAGGACCUAGACACCCACACACAAAGACAGGACAGCAGCUACCUAGCACCAGGGCUGGGAUUGCUCCGAGAGCCAAUGGUACUUCCAGGGAGCUCACACGUAGCCCUUUGUCCAGGCUGCAGACAUGGCUGUGUGUCCAGCAGAGACAAGUUGGGGGCUGGGCCCUGGCUUGAAGGGAGUGACAAGCAGAGAGAGAGAGCAGACAGUGAUGGGGAUCCAUGAAGCAGCCCCUCGUUCCACCUGGCCUUCCUGCCACCUUCCCCUCCCCCAC